AUGAAAUAAGGACAUUACCAGAUAAAAGAGAACUGAGAAUUUGUUGUCAGCAUCCCCAUACUAUAAGAAAUGCCAGCGUAGUUUCUUCAGGUUGAAGGGAAAGAAUACCAGAGGAAAACUUGAAUCUUCAGGAAGGAAUGGCAUCAUUGGAAAUGGUAGCCUAAUUAUAACUAUUGUGGUUUCAUAAUUAUCAGAUAAUUAUGACAUAGCUUU
rnacentral:lncRNA from 1 species